rnacentral:rRNA from 1 species
ACGUUAGCGGCGGACGGGUGAGUAACACGUGGGUAACCUACCUAUAAGACUGGGAUAACUUCGGGAAACCGGAGCUAAUACCGGAUAAUAUUUCGAACCGCAUGGUUCGAUAGUGAAAGGUGGUUUUGCUAUCACUUAUAGAUGACCCGCGCCGUAUUAGCUAGUUGGUAAGGUAACGGCUUACCAAGGCGACGAUACGUAGCCGACCUGAGAGGGUGAUCGGCCACACUGGAACUGAGACACGGUCCAGACUCCUACGGGAGGCAGCAGCG